rnacentral:rRNA from 1 species
GCCCGCUCAGAAACUCAAUGAAUUGACGGGGGCCCGCACAAGCGGUGGAGCAUGUGGUUUAAUUCGAUGAUACGCGAGGAACCUUACCUGGGCUCAAAUGUAUGUUGACGUAUUCUGAAAGGGAUACUUCUUCGGACAAUAUACAAGGUGCUGCAUGGUUGUCGUCAGCUCGUGCCGUGAGGUGUCGGGUUAAGUCCCGCAACGAGCGCAACCCCUACUGCUAGUUGCCAGCGGGUCAUGCCGGGGACUCUAGCGGAACUGCCAGCGUAAGCUGCGAGGAAGGUGGGGAUGACGUCAAAUCAGCACGGCCCUUACGUCCAGGGCUACACACGUGUUACAAUGGCCAGUACAGAGGGCAGCCACCCCGCGAGGGGGCGCUAAUCCUAAAAGCUGGUCCCAGUUCGGAUCGGAGUCUGCAACCCGACUCCGUGAAGCUGGAUUCGCUAGUAAUCGUGGAUCAGCAUGCCACGGUGAAUACGUUCCCGGGCCUU